AAUCUCCUACCCCCACCUUCCAUCCUGCAAGGGGGAGCCCGGAGUUGGAACCAAAGAGGGAAGAGAAAAUAAAUCUCAUGGCAACUGUUGGCUGAAUUUUGCUUGGGCAGGCGAUUCUUUACCGUCUGACCCACCAAAGAAGCCCAGAAAUGGCUAUAGAUGUGGCCAUCUUCUGCCUGCCCCAAGACCGCCAACCCACUGUCAUGAACCACAGGUUUGUCCAUCUAUAACCUGAGUAGAUGCAGAGCGGACAUUCAAUACAUCCCUGCCCUGGCGGGUGAGGGGAGGUAUAAACAACUUCCUCGAGGCUGGGCAGUGAGUCAGGCUCCUAAGAGUCCCGACUCCA